rnacentral:rRNA from 1 species
CCUACGGGAGGCUGCAGUGGGGAAUAUUGCACAAUGGGGGAAACCCUGAUGCAGCGACGCCGCGUGAGUGAAGAAGUAUCUCGGUACGUAAAGCUCUAUCAGCAGGGAAGAAAAUGACGGUACCUGACUAAGAAGCCCAGGCUAAAUACGUGCCAGCAGCCGCGGUAAUAAGUAGGGGGCAAGCGUUAUCCGGAUUUACUGGGUGUAAAGGGAGCGUAGACGGCAGCACAAGUCUGGAGUUAAAUCCCGGGGCUUAACCCCGGAACUGCCGUGGAAACUGUGCGGCUGGAGUGCAGGAGGGGUAAGCGGAAUUCGUGGUGUAGCGGUGAAAUGCGUAGAUAUUAGGAGGAACACCGGUGGCGAAGGCGGCUUACUGGACUGUAACUGACGUUGAGGCUCGAAAGCGUGGGGAGCGAACAGGAUUAGAUACCCCAGUAGUC